UAUAUUCUUUAUCCAAAGUAGGAAAUUAACUUUCUUAGAAGUGCAAAGCAAAGGAUGAUAAUGUUGCCUAAAUUCCAAUAUAAUAUUUCCUUUCAUAUCUAAGGUUAUGGACGAAUUUCUCAACCAAGCGGCCAUAACCUGUUCUGUUUGUGGUGUGGAAUUAUAUAGUGUCCAAGUUCAUCAUGAACCAAUCCUGAAGGGUCCUUACUGGAGGAAUGGCAUUUGCGGUCAUUUCCUGUUCUGUUUAAUCCAGAAAUAGUGCUGGAGAUGGGGAAGUCUAUUGCAAGAUGGUGAUCCUAAUCCAUUUUCAUUUCUAAGCCUGUGGCAAACUGUUGCUCCUUAAAAAUUGUUAUGUUCAUUGAAAGACCCUGGUUCUAUUGGAAGAGGUAUUGCAUGGUGCAGUCUUAUUUUAUACUCCCUCCGUUUCACAAUGAGGAAAAUUCUCGCCAGAAACUGAAGAACUUUCAACCAGACCAAAAAAAAAGAAGGAAAACUAUUCGAGAUCUGAGAGUCUCUAAGGCACCAAAAAAUAUACAAGAAGAUUCAGUACAGAUCUUCGAGCUAGAGCUGCAAGCAGCAAGAGAUAGAAUCUCACCUGUAAAUCAGAACAAGGGUCUUCUUUCGUCAGCUAAUCCAUCGAAGCGCAGAGCUAGUCAGAUGAUGAUUUCUGGAGGUCGAGAGGCUACUCCCCUCUCUCUCCCUCGCCUUGAUCUGAACUUCUUUAGCCUGCGACGACUUGAGACCAAGUCCCACGCGCUUAGCAGCAUCCACACUGAACUAGCAGAAGAAACCGCUGCGAAAGUUCAGCCAAAAUUUCCAGGAAGAAGCCUAGAGAAGAGAUAUCCACUACCGCAGUCAAUCUGAGCCGUCGGUUGGACGGCUCAAUGGCCAGAUUUUGUCAAGUUCAUCUGGGCCGGGUCAACACUCAGCAGCGAGGUCAACGACUCAACGUCGUCAAUUAUUUUCUUUUCCUUUUCUUUUUUUUUAUUUGACAAAAUACUCGGUUACUAUAAUGGGCUUAGUAGUGUGGGCCGGAAUUCACUUGUGGGCCGCUCUAUAGCAGGCCGAAACCCAACAAGCGCUCGCCGGCGACGGCAUUUUUCACGGCGAGCGUUUUCUGGAGUCUCCGGCGGCCGGCGAGGUGGGCUGCGCCGACGCUUCUGGCCAGAUUCGCCUGAGGAGUGUAUUGCUGCUAUCGUCCAACAAACAAUAUAUAAAGGGAUGCUAUGAGAUCAUUAUGUAAUAAAUCCAUGUCAAAAUGGGAAGAAAGGAUCAUUAUUCAUAUUAAACAGUGCGCUACCUGAAAC